GACGAACGCUGGCGGCGUGCUUAACACAUGCAAGUCGAACGGAAAGGCCCUGCUUUUGUGGGGUGCUCGAGUGGCGAACGGGUGAGUAACACGUGAGUAACCUGCCCUUGACUUUGGGAUAACUUCAGGAAACUGGGGCUAAUACCGGAUAGGAGCUCCUGCUGCAUGGUGGGGGUUGGAAAGUUUCGGCGGUUGGGGAUGGACUCGCGGCUUAUCAGCUUGUUGGUGGGGUAGUGGCUUACCAAGGCUUUGACGGGUAGCCGGCCUGAGAGGGUGACCGGCCACAUGGGGACUGAGAUACGGCGCAGACUCCUACGGGGGGCAGCAGUGGGGAAUAUUGCACAAUGGGCGGAAGCCUGAUGCAGCAACGCCGCGUGCGGGAUGACGGCCUUCGGGUUGUAAACCGCUUUCGCCUGUGACGAAGCGUGAGUGACGGUAAUGGGUAAAGAAGCACCGGCUAACUACGUG
rnacentral:rRNA from 1 species